CUGCCUAUAGCUCAGAUGGUAGAGUGUCCGUUAACUUGUACCCAGUCACUUACUUACAUGGAGGUCGAGGGUUCGAACCCCUCUAGCCACG